rnacentral:lncRNA from 1 species
UUGAUAAUUCUAGCAUAUGUGUUUAUACUGUCAAGGUGUUGGCUUGAUAGUGUGAUGCUGCUUCCGACAAUCUCCAACCCUGAGCUAACCUGACAACACUAAAAGAAAUGGAAAGGAGGGGGUAAGCUUUACGCUUAAUAAGCUCGCAUGAAAUAAUAAUAAGCAAUUUACUAACAUGUUUUCCAUAGUAAAGCUAAUCCAAUUGAACAUUUACACAUGUUCUGGUUAAGCUGCUUUCUUGAGUCACAGUCACUAAAUCAUUUAUAUCUGGAGUUACGGAACUCCAAAUUAAGAUCGUAAAUUUUCCUAGAAACUAGACUCAUAUAUCUUUCCACCAUAAAAAUUUCAGAAUUUUUGGUCCAGCCAAUAAAUACAAUUUAUUAUUCAAAGUCUCCCAUGUUUUGCUGUUUGACAGCUUCGACCUUUCUUCACUAAAAUUUAUUUAUAUCAUAGUACGAGACUCAGAAAAUGUUCCCAAUUGUUUUUAUUAAAAGUAGACUCAUCAAAUAUUCUAAGCAUAUAAAUUAUAACCCAUAAUUAUUUUUAUAAAAUUUUUAACAAUUUUUCCAAGUCAGAACAGGGGAUCUCAAAUUCAUUCUAACACUGUCUCACAAAAAUUAGAAUAUCACAUAAUAUACAACUCUUUUGCUCCCCCUGUUUCUUUUAUAUGAAAAUAGACUCAUUAAUAUUUAAUUCCAUAAUUUAUUUGAAAUUUAAUUCAAUUUACACAAUUUUUGGUGAAUUUUCAAAGUCACACAACUACUGCUGUCCAACACUGUUUUACUACUAAAAUUCACUCUUACAUAAUUUCACUUAAUCCAUUUUUUCUUAUCGAAGUUCACUUAAAUAUAGAGCACAUUGCUCAUAAUUUUCAUAAACAUAUACCUGCACUUAUUCAUCAUAUAAUCAUGUUCACAUGCAUUUUUACUUAAUCGAUUUUCCCGUUGAACUCUUCGGAAUACUAACUGAUACUCAGUUGCCUGCACAUAUUUUCACACUUGUAGCUAAAGCUAUCUGGUACGCAUAGUAGCCUGCACUUAGUACUACACAUGCGACCAAUUAUCUGGUACAUGUAGUAGCCUGCACUUAGUACUACACACGUGACCUAACCAUUUGAUACACGUAGUAGCCUGCACUUAGUACUACACGCGUGAUCGAAGUUAUCGGGUACGCAUAGUAGCCUGCACUUAGUACUACACAGGUGACCUCACAAUAGAUCAUUCGUAUCGUUUCUAUUCCGAAGGCUCAACCGGGAAAUUCCUCACUUUCCAACAUGUUACAAUUUAUUCAUAGUCCUUUUUCAAUUUGCAAUUCACAACAAAUAAUCAUUCUAUAGGCAGCCACAUUUCAUAUGAUAACAAAAUAUAAUAAAAUAAAAAGAAUCGAUAAAUUAUUUUUGUGCAAACUUACCUCGGAUCCAGAAAUGGCAAUUUACCAUUCUAGUCCAUAACCUUGUAUUUUCCCGAUUUAAGCCCAAAUCUCGAUUUCCUUGAUUAUAAUACCACAUUUAGUCUAUUAAUUAGUCACACUAUUCAUAUGGGUCUAAAAAUCAUAAUUUUUACAAAUUUUCAUUUUGACCCCUAAACUUUUGCAUAUUUACACUUUUGCCCCAAAGUUCGGAAAUUAAAAUUCUUCCUAUUUCUUAUGUUUCAUAACAUGCUGAUCAUUUUUCCCAUCUAUGGAAACAUCAAAUUCUCACUCUAACAUGUACUUAUGAACAUUAUUUUUUACCGAUUAUACCGUUUUACUCGUUUUCACAUAAAAUCCCUUAGCAAAAGUUGUUUAACACAAUUUUAAGCUUCAUAUUAUACCAUUAAACAUCAAAAUACAUGCAUAUCAUUCAUGGGUAAAUUUUUAAACAUAAAUCGUAGCUCAAAAUAAUGGUAGAAAUGAGCAGAUCAUGUUACUGGGAUUUCAAAAAUACAUAGAACAUUAAAAACGGAGCUCAGAAUCACUUACUAUUAAGCUUGGAAGCUUGGCCAAACCCUAACCAUGGCUGCUUUUGGUACAUUCUAUUGUAGCAAGAAGAAAGGGACACACUUGGAGUUUAAAAUUUGUCUUUUAAUUCAUUUUACCCCUGAAUAACCAAAAUGCCCUUUUUACUAUUCUUUCAAAUUUUACACAAUCAAGGCCAUUUUUGUCCAACAAGUUAUACAAUGGUUUAAUUAACAUUUAAGGACCUCCAAUUUAAAAUUUCAUAACAAUUUGAUACCUCUAACAUGUAGAACUCAACUUUUUCACUUUUUACAAUUUAGUCCUUUUUACUAAAUUGAGUGCCCAAAUGUCAAAAUUUUUGAACGAAAUCUUCACGAAAUCAUUUUGUGAAAUUGUAGACCAUAAAAAUAUAAUAAAAAUAAAAUUUUCCUCAUCGAAUUUGUGGUCCCGAAACUACUGUUCUGACUAAGCCCAAAAUUAGGAUGUUACAAAUAUAAUAAACCCUAAAAUAAAGAUGCCCUUAGAAAUUGAAAAUACAACAAAAAUACGUACAAAAUAUAUGAGUAAAUUAAAAAGGAUGAAGGCACCUGAAGCGAAAUAGUGGAGAGAGUAUAGAGAUGGAAAAUGAUGAACUGUGCUGGAGUCAUAAAAUUUUUUUGGAGGGACGGAAUUAAAUUGUAUAUUUUUACGAUAGUAAGAAUGCAAUUUCACCAUUUUAAUAGACUAUAUAUUUGAAAUUUUUAAAAGAUUAAAUUAAUUUUUUUGAGGGACUAAAGUGUAAUUUUACUAUUAUUAAUUUAAAAAUUUAUAAAUUAUAAAAAAUCUAAAUGGAAAUUUUUCCAUUUUAGAGAGGCCAGACCUACCCUUUGCUCGGCCACUAAUGAUGGGCAAGCAACACCAUCCAAUAAUCAGACUAUUAUUUCCAACAAUUCAUAACAUUUUAAAAUAUUUUUAUAUGAUAAAUCAGAAAUAGUAAUAUAUAUAUUCAACAACAAUAAUUUACAAAUCCAGAUAAGCCAUAUCUAAAUUUAAAUUAAUAAUAAUUUUCUACUAAAUUUAGUUUUUUAGUUAUCAAUAUAUGAAUUGUUUUUAAUAUUAUCGUAAAUAAUAAAAUGAAUUUUCGAAGCAUCUUUGAAACAACAUCAUAUGCAUAAUUUUUUAAAGGUAUAAUGACUUACUUCAACUUUUUAGUUUAAAAAAAUAUUUUAAAUUUUUAUUUAAUUUUUGUCAAAAAACUAGAGAAAAAGAUGCCAGUGAACUAGUGAUUUUUGUCAAAACAAACUCGAAAUAGAUAAAAAAGUUAACAUUUAUUAACUUUUUUUUUUAGUUUUUUUUAGUUUCUCAAUAUAUCUAUUGAAGCGAGCCUAGUAACUAAUCAUCUGCAUUUUGUAGGCCUAUUAAGGGGAUAGAUGCUAGCCACGAGUUUUAUAGUUGCUCUAUACCCAAGGCAAGGAUCGAACCUUCAACCAUUGAUUAACAUUUAUUAAUUUUGUUAAUGUGACAGUCCAUGUAUAUGCUAUGUCAACAAUUAAUUUAAAAUUUUAAAAAUUCUAAAAAUUAUUGAGUAUUAUUAUCAUUUUAUACUUAUGUAUAGUUUUUAUGGUUUGCUUUUUAAAUAAUUUUAGCAAUUUUAUAUUUUUUAAAGUUUUCAUAAAUUUAUAUUUUUAAAUUUUUAAAUAAAAUUUAAUGCAUGUCAUAUCAGCAAAGCAAACAAAUAUUAAAAUUUUUAUUCAUUCUGAGUGAUUUGAAAAAAAAAUGUAAAUAUAAAAACUAAAAAAUAUGAAAAUUAAAUAAAAAGUUAAAAUAAAGUUUUUUAUAAGAUAAGAGGAUCAAAUAAAUUAUUAUGCAAUUUUUUAAAAAAUAGUUUUUUUAUGUAAACUUUAGAAAGAUGUAGAGUAUCAAGUUUAACAACUGCAUUUUGACUCUUCAUAGGCCAAUCAUAUAUUUAUGGUUAUGAAAUUAUGAGUCUCUAAUCUCCAUGUGAUUUUAAAAUGCAAGAAAAAAAUAUACCGUAUAGUACAUAACGGAAUUCAUGGUGAAACUUUUUUAUUUUCUAUUAAUUUUGUAAUUUACAAAAAUACUCACUUAACUUUUGUAUAAUUUACUUUUUAUUACCUAAUCAUAAAAACUAAUGUUUUAGUCAAUAACAUUAUCUACUUAUUAUGUUUCUAUUAAUAAUUAUUAUAGCCCUAAUGAAAAAAUGAAGUAGCAUAUUUAAUUUUACCCUUGAACUAUAAUUGAAAUCUUCAAUUUAGUAUUUUUACAAUUUUUUAACAAUAAUUUUGAAAAAAUUAUAAAAAUUUCUAAAAAUAUAAAAGUAUGAAAAUUCAUUAUUUAUUUUUUGAAAUUAUAAAAAAAAUAUUUAUAAAAUUAGAAUUAUGCAGAAAAAUUAAAAUUUCAUAAAAUUCUAAAAUAUAUAUAUGAAAUCUGAAAAAAAUAAUUUUCAUUAAUCUAAAUAUUUUAUAAAUUAAAUGGGUUAGUAAAAUUUAUUUCUUAAUUUGUUUGUCCUAAGAUCAUAUUUUCAUCAUGUUCAUGGUCGUUCCCCAGCACUAUCAUAAGUAAAUGACAAUUCAAGAUUCAUACAAUCUCCAUUUUUAUACCGUACAGUUACGUGUUAGUUCUAAUGAAAAUAUAAAAUAACUUAAACAUUUAUUGUCAAAUCAUAUAUAUUUAUAUGAGUACCUUUUUUUAAUCAAGUAUUUCGCAUUCGGAUGUGUGGUCAGAUUAGUCAGAUAAUUAAUUUCUGGUUCAAUAGAUUCAUUUAGUUUAAUUAAAUAAAAUAUCAAAAUUGUAAAAUAAUAAUAGAGAAAACUAGUUUAAUCACUAAUUUCAUCAAUUUUUUAACUCAAUUCAACUAGCUUUGAAUAAUUCGCUGGUUAACUAAUUUAACUCAUCUUUUCAAACCAAUAUGCCAACGGAUUCAUGAUCUGAUCAAUUUUAUCCGAUUCAAAUAUCAUUACUUAUUUGUGACAUCUAACUUUGUAUAAUUCAUUUUUACUUUUUUUUUUCAAUUAAAAAACAUAUUUUUAUUUAAACAAUAUGUAUCCAAUUAAAAAUAGUGUAACACAUUAAAAUUGCAAAUAUUACAGAAUAUAAUUACUUAUAUCGUUAUAGUUAACUAAACAAAUAUAUAUUACAACUUGAAUGGGUAGUGGGGUGCAAUGCAAUAUGUUUAGCUUAUUUUUUAUUUUAUGUUACAAUAUCGUUACAGUAUCUAAUCUCAUUACCACCAUUAUUUUUACAUUAACAACAAGUAAAUUCACCGUCAUCCAAACUCACCCUUAAAAAAGUUAAAUAAAUAUAUUAAUUUUUUUCAAGCAUCAUUUCAAUCGCUUUAAAAUGGGUUUUUUUAGACAAUAUCUCUCUUUUUAAUAUAAUUCUUCAAAAUUUUCAACUACAAACAAUUUUUUUUGCACUUAAUUAAGUCUUUAAUGUUGAAAUAUUAACAUUUUUAAUUUUCAAAUUUUGAAAUUAAAAAUAUUAUUAAAUUUUUUUAAAUACGUUAUAAUAACAAAAAAAAUCUAAAUAAGCAUAUUACAUUUCAAAUUAAAUAAUGUUUUAAACUAAUAUGAAAUACUUUUGAAAAUACAUAAAAUAAUUAUAAAACAACAUCUAUAAAUUAAAAAAAUUAAAUAGUUUUGAACAAAAUAUUUUUAAACACAUGUUAAAAUAUUUAAAAUAUUUAUUUACAUAACGAGCUUUUAAACCGGCAAGAGGAAUAGACAAGGGACCCUAUUAAUACCUUCUUGUUUUUAAUUUAUAAUGAGGGCCUUUCGACGCUUAUGAGGAUGGCCUUGAGGGAGGGGUCGAUUAAGGGAGCAAAGGAAAAGAAAAGGGGCUCCGUCGGUUUCUCAUUUACUGUUUGCUGAUGAUAGUAUAUUGUUUGGAGAAGCUAGCGAUAGGGGUGCACAAGUUUUGAAAUCAAUCUUAAGGGAAUAUGAAAGAUGCUCGGGGCAAUGCCUCAAUUACGACAGUAGCAACACUUCGGAAGAGUCUAGGUGAGUUGUUUCCAAUAUUCUUGGGGGUAGAAAUUCAAAUAAUAUGGAAAGAUAUCUUCGUUUGCCGAAUGUUGUGGGGAAAAAUAAAAAAAGUUUCUUUUCAGCUCUUAAAGGAUCGCAUGAGGUAAUGGAUUGAGAGUUGGAAUGGGAGAUUCCUUUCUCAAAGAGGUUAGGAAGUGUUUAUUAAAGUUGUUUUACAAGCAAUACCCACUUACACUAUGGCCUGUUCUUUACUUCCAAAGUCUUUGUGUGUGGAAUCAGAUAGCAUAAUGAAUCAAUUUUGGUGGGAAAAAGGACAAGGGCGAAAAUGGUUGGGAACAACUUUGCAAUCUUAAGGAGAAUGGGGGUAUGAGAUUCCGUAGUUUAUCCAAAUUUAAUGUUGCGUUAUUAGCUAAACAAGGUUGGUGUAUUCUUAAUUAUCCAGAUUCAUUAUUAAUGAAAGUUCUAAAGGCUAAGUACAUUCCAACUGAGUUAGGACAACUACCUUCAUAUAUCUGGAAGAGUGUAUGGGCAGCUAAAGGAUUGCUAAAGACUGGGAUUUGUUGGAGGGUGGGAACGGGCUAGAAUAUUUAAAUUGCUGCUGAUGCGUGGCUCCUUUGAUCUGUAAGUUAAAAGGCAAAAUCAAUUAGGAAUGACAGUAAACUCAAUAAAGUGGUGGAUCUUAUUGAUAAACAAAAGAGAGAAUGGAAGUUUGACUUAAUUUAUUCUACCUUCUCUAGAGAAGAGGCAAAUAGAAUUGUGCGAAUUCCCGUAGCAAUGGAACCUCAUACGGACUUCAUGGUAUGGAAGGGAGAGGCCUCUGGGGAAUUCUCUGUGCGAAGUGCUUACAAAUUUUUACAUGGCUUUCUUCCUAAUUAUUUAAAGACUGAGGCUAAUUUAUUUUACAAAAAUUUGUGGGAUAUUCAUAUUCCAGGGAAAAUUAAAAUCCUAAUCUGGAAAAUUUCUUGGAAUUUUAUUCAUCAUUUUGUUAAUCUUCGGUGUAAGAGAUUGCUAUCGGUGGUAGUAUGUCCCAAAUGUGGAGUAACUGCUGAAAACAUUAAUUAUAUCUUCAGAGAAUGCCCAAUGACGCAAGAAGUUUGGAUUAAUUUGAAUCUGGAAUGGGUAUUAACGGAUUUGAUUUUGUUACACUGGGAGAGACUUACCUGAGUGUUCAAGAAUAGUUCCAGCAUUCAAUGUCGAGUAUUUUGUUGCCCUUUGUGGGCGAUCUGGAAGGACAAAAACAAAGGAUUACACGAGGCAAAGAAAAGUACGGGCCCAGAAGUUGCUACAUGGAUAAACAGAUAUAUUAAGGAACUGGAGGGGUGUGAGGUUCGGGAUUUUACCACGAGGCACAAGUCUAUGUGUUGGUGCCCACCAGUUGGUUCCAUUGCCUCCAAGCAGUGGUUAUGGGAAAACAGAUAGGGUUCACAUUAGUUAUCAUCGAAUGAGACUCAGUAUCAAUAAAAAAAAAGUAAAUUAGAUAAGACUGAUAAAUCGGUGAUUGGGGGUAUAAUACAGAACAUUCAGCAGCAAAAGUAAUCUUUUCACCAAAUAACCUUUCAACAUACAUACAGAUCUACAAAUCUUAUGGCUCAUAACUUAGCUAAAGAGGCAAUGAAAGAAGAUUUGCGAGCAUACCUGAUCAGAAGGGUCCCUGAGCAAGAAACAUCGGAGGUGAAUUUGUGGAGAAGAAGAGAACCUGACUGAGGGUUGUUCGAUAGGUGGUAUUUGCGUAGAAAGAAAAAAGGGAAAGUGGGAUAGUUGAUGGGUUUGGAAAUCGCUUUUUUAGGGACUAGAAUCGGUGCAUUAAUUACGGAUAUGCUAAUUGGAUUCUAGCUGUGAUCAGACUGGAAGUUUAUAUUAAUUUUCUGUUUAGUUUUUUUAAUUUGUUUGUUUUGGUGCAUGUUUUAAGUUUAUUUAAUAUUAUUAAUUUAGACACGAAUCAGUCUGUAAACUGUAGGGGUAAAAAAAGACUAGUUAUUUAUAUAUAAAUCCAGGAGACCCAAAUCCAUAAAACCCGUUUUCAGAACCGGAUCCUGGGACAGCUCUCACUAUGACCCG